UCACGGUUGCGUUUGAUGAGCUGUCCAAUGCUCCCGGCAUUAUAACAGUUCAGGUGGCUGAUCCUAUCCAAACCAAAUGCCUGAUGAUUUCCCCGACCGUAAAUGAUCACCCUGACGAGCCGAUGGCUGUCCAGAUGGACCUUCUUGGUUGUGGAAUUUUUGAAUGCAGCAAAUAUCUCCAAACCAAUAUAGUUACCGAAAAUGAUGGUCUGGCUGUGAAUUUUAAAUCUGAAAAGCUGGUCACAGAAAUAACGUUUUACGUUCAGGGAGGCCAUUUUGAACAAGGCGCUAAUGACAGCAUACACGUGACCUACAGCCGAACGUGUCGAACAUUCCACAGCAUCGAUGUCAAACAGAUUUCCAUUCACGAUAACCCGGAUAGUCAAAAACUUUCAUUGGUAUUUCCUCGCCCAAUAAGAUUACAGUGUUUAUCAUUAAACUCCAGUGAAAUUAUUUCACCGGCUAAAUUAUCAGGAACUGCAUCUGCCUU